GUUAACAUCACUAGAAAUAAAAAUGGAUAAUUGAUAAAGCUCAUAAAAAAAAACUAUUUAAAUAAAUACAUAUGUUAAUUUAUUGCCAGACAUGAUUCUCAUUGUGUUGUUACAAUAAAGUGACAAUAACGCAAACGUUUGAGCUAAUCAGUAAAAAUUCAGUCAAAUAAGACAACCGUAUUGUAGAGGUUGAGCUUAUGGGUGGCCAGCUAAGAGUGCGUUUUAGGUACAGUGGGAUGAAAGAGCUGAAGAUUUUUGGUUGAAGAAAACCGAACUAUCAGAUGUCGUUAAACCGAUACAAUGAAUUAUUUUUCAGUGGAGUGGGGUGUUACAUCUUAUAUAAAAUUAUGAAUUUAAGAUUUCUUAGAACCGCAACACACGUUAACCACCACAUGAAUUGCUUUAAGUCAGAUCUAAAAACAUAAAUUAUUCAGAAUAUGAAAAAAAACUAAAUCGUUAACCGAAUUUUAAUUAUAGUAUAAUGUCACCGUAAGCAAUUGUAUUUAUUUUUUAACGAUAAAAUAUUUCGUAUAACAAAUAAGCCGUCUUAAAAGUUAAAUUGUUCACAGAAAUGACUUUCACAAACUCGUUUCCCGUUUUUUGUUUAUACAAAAUUGGAAAGGGUUUAUAAGUACCAAUUUAUGAAAUAUUAAAUUAUAUUUUUACGCAAC